CCCGUAGCUCAGCUGGAUAGAGCGCUGCCCUCCGGAGGCAGAGGUCAGAGGUUCGAAUCCUCUCGGGCGGGCCA
rnacentral:tRNA from 1 species